GUAUGUUCUCCGUCGGGUGGUAUUUAAGGCUCCCCGCACACUACAAACUUUUUAUCGGCCGAUAGUUUGGUCGGGCUUAUAAUCAGUAUGAAGAUGUAUGCAAGUCCGCAUUCUACAACGAUUUUGUAUCGGCCGAUAAACAAGUUUGAUGGGCUACCCAACUGCGUUCAAACUAAACUAUCGGCCAACCAGGCCAACUAUCGGCCGACUGCGAUAUCAGUAUGGAGCUCGUCGCAAGCGCGCACACCUACCGAUUGUUUAGUCGGCCGACUUGAUCAAUUUAGUUCGCUCAGAGUAUUGGUGCAGUCGGCCGACUGUUGUCUAGUGUGCGCACUCACCACAAACCCAACUGUUCAGUUGGCGUAGUGUGCGCGCUCACAGCCCAACCCGAUCAAAAUAUCGGCCGAUAAAAAGUUUGUAGUGUGCGGGGAGCCUAAAUCUGACAGAAUUUCUACCUGCAACCUGUGAACCAACCUUACAUAUAAAUGUAAUUUUUCAACCUUUUUUCGUGAAAUGUUUGUGUUUUUUGUGUUAACUCGCGAUCUAAGCCGCGUCGUAACUUCAGCAGGGCUUCUAGAGAUGCAGAAUUAAAUUCUCCGUCGGGUGGUACUUAAAUCUUGCAGGAUUUCUACCUGCAACCCUCGAAACUUUGCAUAUAAAUGUAAUUUUUCAUCCAUUUUUCGUGAAAUAUUUGUGUUUUUUUUUUGGGUUAGCUCGCGAUCUAAGCGACGUAGUAACUUCAGCAGGGCUUCUAGAGAUGGGGAAUUAAAUUCUACGUCGGUGGUAUUUAAAUAUUGCAGGAAUUCUACCUAAAACCCGAGAAAAUUUGUAUAUAACUAUAAUUUUUCAACCCUUUUUGUGAAAUGUUUGUGUUUUUUUGGGUUUGCACGCGAUCUAGGCGGCGUAGUAACUCCAACGGGGCUUUUAGAAAUGCGGAAUUAAAUUCUACGUCGGUGGUAUUUAAAUGUUGCAGGAUUUCUACCUGCAACCCGCGAAAAUUUGCAUAUAUGUGUAAUUUUUCAUCCCUUUCUCGUGUAAUGUUUGUGUUUUUUCGGGUUUGCACGCGAUCUAGACGGAGUAGUAACUUCAUCGGGGCAUCUAAAGAUGCGGAAUUAAAUUCUCCGUCGGCUGGUAUUUAAAUCUUGCAGGAAUUCUUCCUGCAACCUGCAAAAAUUUGCAUAUAAGUGUCAUUUUUCAACCCUUUUUCGUGAAAUGUUUGUGUUUUUUCGGGUUGGCACACGAUCUAGGCGGCGUAGUAACUUCAUCGGGGCGUCUAGAGAUGCGGAAUUAAAUUCUCCGACGGCUGGUAUUUAAUUGUUGCAGGAAUUCGACCUGUAACCCCCGAACAUUUGCAUAUAAUUGCUUCCUUUGAUUACCCUUUGCCCCGGUAAGUUGUUAAAUCUUAUUACAGCAUUAUCACAUUGAUGUCUUUAGUCGCGUGUAACGACAGUACCGUAAUACUCGUAAGUCAAAAUUGUCGCUUGCCGUCGACUGCGUUUUCGAUCUUGCCUGAGAAUGUGAUUUUCACUGUUAUUCUCAGCUCUUAUUGUUCUUUUGCAUUCAAAAUACUAUAAUCGUGUUGACGCGUUUAAAAGCGAUUUCAAUAUCUUAACUCAAAUCGUGUAUCAUGCCGUUGGUUGCUUUGCCUUCUUUUCAUUUUCCGCAACGAAUAUCAAUGUUGGGAAACUUGUAAAAUUUUGUAGUUGUUAAUUUUGUUGAUUAUUUUUUGCGAUUUUUUUUAAAUGCAUUGUCUUAUUUUCCUAUUUGUAACAUCCUGUAUAUGGGCUUUUCUUGAACAACAAAAAUUUAUAAAAAUUGAUCUUUUUGCGUGUUUUGAUCGUGGGAUUUUAUAUUAAAUGUUUAAAUUUUCCUUAUUUAUUACUCUGUAUAUUUGUUUCCCCUGAUUUCCAGUCAGUACUUGACUACAUUUGUUUCUUCCACAUGUUUUCUCCUUGUUCGUAGUAUUUUAUUUUUAAAUCUAGUAAUUUUCCUUUUGUAUCACCCUGUAUACUUGUUCUUCAUUUAUAAUAUGUCACUGACCAAAUUAGUUGUCCGGGUGUUUUCAAUUUUGAACUUUAUAUUUUCUUUCUGUAUCACCCAGUAUAUCACUUUUCCUUAACAUACUUGUUAAUGUGGGGAAAAUUUAUUGUUAUACUCGUAAUGUAUUGCUCUUUUUCUAAAUCAUUGGUUUUCUUUUUGUAACACCCUGUAGAUUAGUUUUCCUGUAUUUAAUUGCUAUUUCAUAAUCAUGUACAUAGUAUGUUGGUGUUUAUAAUUUGGUACUUAUGUGCAUGUGUGAAACGCAGGUCGUAAGACUUGCUUCAAGAUGGCGGCCUGAAAUUUGUAUGUAUUAUGUUAUAUUAUGUUAUGUAUUUACAUUCUGUUAUUUUAUUUGUUAAUAAAGAAAUGUAAAAAGAG